rnacentral:rRNA from 1 species
UACGUAGGGGGCAAGCGUUGUCCGGAUUUAUUGGGCGUAAAGAGCGUGUAGGCGGUUAGGUAGGUCCGUUGUGAAAACUCGAGGCUCAACCUCGAGACGCCGAUGGAAACCAUCUGACUAGAGUCCGGAAGAGGAGAGUGGAAUUCCUGGUGUAGCGGUGAAAUGCGCAGAUAUCAGGAAGAACACCCGUGGCGAAGGCGGCUCUCUGGGGACGGUACUGACGCUGAGACGCGAAAGCGUGGGGAGCGAACAGG